rnacentral:misc_RNA from 1 species
GUCCAUUUGUUUUUAAAAAAAAAAUGUUAGCAAAGCUCAAAAGAAGACUAAACAGAACAGAUGAUGUGUCUCUUUCACAACAUUACAGAUCAUUUAUUUUAAGAAGUUCAGAUGUAAUAAAAUAAAAAUUAGUGAUGAAAUAUUUAAACUGAGAGAUGAUGGAGCUGCAGCAGCAUCUUUAAUUGAAAAAUAAUAAUAAUAAUUCACUAGCGCUACUUCUAAUGAGAGAAAUAAUUAAAUAGAAGCUGGUGGGAUAGCAACAAAAUACAAAUACAGGUAUGGAUUGGCAUCUGAUUACCAUUAUCACAAAAUUAUGCAAAUGGGUAGAGACAUCGCUUCUCUUCUUUCUUCAAUGAUGACCAGACACCAUAAUUUUUCCUUUUACUCUUCUUUUUACCAUAAGGAAAAAGGAAUUCAAAAGACAUGAUUUAACCAUUGAAUAGAAGCUUUUACAUAUAAAACUCACAUAUAAUUAUCAAACCCUCUACAGUAUACUACAUGAUUAAGAAAAUUAUUAGCUCUGCAAUAUUAAAAAAAAAAAAAAAAAA